CCUACGGGAGGCUGCAGUGGGGAAUAUUGGGCAAUGGGCGCAAGCCUGACCCAGCAACGCCGCGUGAAGGAAGAAGGCUUUCGGGUUGUAAACUUCUUUUAUCAGGGACGAAGCAAGUGACGGUACCUGCUGAAUAAGCCACGGCUAACUACGUGCCAGCAGCCGCGGUAAUACGUAGGUGGCAAGCGUUAUCCGGAUUUACUGGGUGUAAAGGGCGUGUAGGCGGGAGUGCAAGUCAGAUGUGAAAACUAUGGGCUCAACCCAUAGCCUGCAUUUGAAACUGGACUUCUUGAGUGCUGGGGAGGCAAUCGGAAUUCCGGGUGUAGCGGUGAAAUGCGUAGAUAUACGGAGGAACACCAGUGGCGAAGGCGGAUUGCUGGACUGUAACUGACGCUGAGGCGCGAAAGCGUGGGGAGCAAACAGGAUUAGAUACCCGGGUAGUC
rnacentral:rRNA from 1 species